rnacentral:rRNA from 1 species
GACGAACGCUGGCGGCGUGCCUAAUACAUGCAAGUCGAGCGGGGUUACUGUGGUGGAACCCUUCGGGGUGAAACUGCUUUAACCUAGCGGCGGACGGGUGAGUAACGCGUGGGUAACCUGCCCUAAAGACCGGGAUAACAGCGGGAAACCGCUGCUAAUACCGGAUACCUUUACUGGGGGGCAUCCUCUGGUAAAGAAAGGAGCAAUCCGCUUUAGGAUGGGCCCGCGUCCCAUUAGCUAGUUGGUGAGGUAACGGCUCACCAAGGCGACGAUGGGUAGCCGGCCUGAGAGGGUGAACGGCCACACUGGGACUGAGACACGGCCCAGACUCCUACGGGAGGCAGCAGUAGGGAAUCUUGCGCAAUGGGCGAAAGCCUGACGCAGCGACGCCGCGUGAGCGAAGAAGGCCUUCGGGUCGUAAAGCUCUGUCCUCAGGGAAGAAGGAAGUGACGGUACCUGAGGAGGAAGCCCCGGCUAACUACGUG